AAUAAACGCUGGCGGCGUGCCUAACACAUGCAAGUCGAGCGAGAAAGCUCCUUCGGGAGUGAGUACAGCGGCGAACGGGUGAGCAACGCGUGGGAAUCUACCCUUCAGUGAAGAAUACCCUUGAGAAAUCGAGGUUAAUACUGCAUACGUCCUGUAAAGGAGAAAGAUGGCCUCUUUGCUGUCGUUGAAGGAUGAGCCUGCGUACUAUUAGCUAGUUGGUAGGGUAACGGCCUACCAAGGCGAUGAUGGUUAACCGGCCUGAGAGGGUGUACGGCCACACUGGAACUGAGACACGGUCCAGACUCCGACGGGAGGCAGCAGUAGGGAAUCUUCCGCAAUGGGCGAAAGCCUGACGGAGCAACGCCGCGUGAGUGAUGAAGGUCUUCGGAUCGUAAAACUCUGUUAUUAGGGAAGAACAAAUGUGUAAGUAACUAUGCACGUCUUGACGGUACCUAAUCAGAAAGCCACGGCUAACUACGUGCCAGCAGCCGCGGUAA
rnacentral:rRNA from 1 species